rnacentral:rRNA from 1 species
UUGGUGUGGUUGUUGCUGGCCCUCUCGGGGGCAUGUGCACACCCACCAUCCUCAUCUCUCCACCUGUGCACCUCUUGUAGACCUGGAUUGACUUUCCGAGGCAACUCGGUCGGGAAGAUUGCUGCGCUCUGUGAGCCAGCUUUCUUUGCAUGUCCAGGCCUAUGUUUUUCAUAUACCCCUAUAGAAUGUAACAGAAUGUAUCAUUGGGCCUUGUGCCUAUAAACCUUAUACAACUUUCAGCAACGGAUCUCUUGGCUCUCGCAUCGAUGAAGAACGCAGCGAAAUGCGAUAAGUAAUGUGAAUUGCAGAAUUCAGUGAAUCAUCGAAUCUUUGAACGCACCUUGCGCUCCUUGGUAUUCCGAGGAGCAUGCCUGUUUGAGUGUUAUUAAAUUCUCAACCUUAUUAACUUUUGUUGAUAAUGGAUUGGAUUGUGGGGGUUUCUUUUGCUGGCUUCUUCACAGAGAUCAGCUCCCCUUAAAUGCAUUAGCUGGUGCCCCGCGUGGACCAUCUAUUGGUGUGAUAAUUAUCUACGCCGUGGAUGUCUGCAAUCAUAUGGGUUUCGCACUGCUUCUAACCGUCUGUUCAUUCGGACAAUACAUGACAAUUUGACCUCAAAUCAGGUAGGACUACCCGCUGAACUUAAGCAUAUCAAUAAGCGGAGGAAAAGAAACUAACAAGGAUUCCCCUAGUAACUGCGAGUGAAGCGGGAAAAGCUCAAAUUUAAAAUCUGGCGGUCUCCGGCCGUCCGAGUUGUAAUCUAGAGAAGUGUUAUCCGCGCUGGACCGUGUACAA